GCUAGUUGGGGGACGAGGUCAAGUGGCAUAGGCUGGAUUUGAAUUCAGCUUUGUCAAUUAAUAUUAUGUUAUUUAAAUGAUUAAUGAUAUCACUUCAUCUGUGAUUGCCCUAAUUAUUCUCUUUAAGAGAGAUAUUUGUACUCUCUCGGAGAGUUUUAAUCCUUAAACCUAGUUAUCACAGAUACACCUACCGCCACCAUCUUCCUUUCAACCAUCCAUCGCCGAUAUCACUAUCUUACACCAUCCACCUUCGUCGCCUCCUGUCUCUAAUCACCACCUACUGCCAUUAUCCCCUCCCCUUCAAUCACCAAAAACGGUCACCAUCAUCAUCAACCAUCAUCCACCACCACCCUUAAUCAUCAAUCAUCA
rnacentral:lncRNA from 1 species